rnacentral:rRNA from 1 species
AUGGGGAUGUGGAAGACAUUACUCGAAUCGUUGUUCUAUAAAACAGCCGAAGAAACGGCGUACCGUAUGACUUCAGUUGUACUACCAAGGAGCGCCACCAUCAGCGACGAGAAGGCCGUCGUGCAUCACGUGACCAACGGCGGGUGCUUCGACGACUUCGCCAAGGCGAUGGGCGAGUGCCACCCGAGCCCCCCGACGUCGAUCGUGCAGCGGGGCGAGCACGCCGUCGUCGACGCCAAGGCCUGCGUCGAGGCCACGGCGGCGCUGCGCAAGUGCUUCGCCCGCAACCCGGCCAUGUUCAAGCACAUGUACCUCCGCGUCAUGGACGAGUGCCUCGAUCAGGAUCUCAAGCCGUCGCCCGAACAGAUCGCCGUCAUCAGCGACGAGACGGUCGUCCUGCAUCACGUGGCCAACGGCGGUUGCGCCAAGGACUUCGCCACGGCGAUGAGGGAGUGCCACCCCAGUCCUCCAGAGGAGUUCAUCAAGGAGCAAGGCGACGCCACUAACCGCGUUGUCAACGCCAGUGCCUGCGUCAAGGCCACUGCGGCGCUGCGCAAGUGUUUCGCCGGCAAUCCGGCGAUGUUCAAGCAUUAG